rnacentral:rRNA from 1 species
GAUGAACGCUGGCGGCGUGCCUAAUACAUGCAAGUCGAGCGAACAGACGAGGAGCUUGCUCCUCUGACGUUAGCGGCGGACGGGUGAGUAACACGUGGAUAACCUACCUAUAAGACUGGUAUAACUUCGGGAAACCGGAGCUAAUACCGGAUAAUAUAUUGAACCGCAUGGUUCAAUAGUGAAAGACGGUUUUGCUGUCACUUAUAGAUGGAUCCGCGCCGCAUUAGCUAGUUGGUAAGGUAACGGCUUACCAAGGCAACGAUGCGUAGCCGACCUGAGAGGGUGAUCGGCCACACUGGAACUGAGACACGGUCCAGACUCCUACGGGAGGCAGCAGUAGGGAAUCUUCCGCAAUGGGCGAAAGCCUGACGGAGCAACGCCGCGUGAGUGAUGAAGGUCUUCGGAUCGUAAAACUCUGUUAUUAGGGAAGAACAAAUGUGUAAGUAACUAUGCACGUCUUGACGGUACCUAAUCAGAAAGCCACGGCUAACUACGUG